rnacentral:ncRNA from 2 species
GGUUUAUUGGGAGGCAAUGAAGCACCAGCUACAAUAUGGUCACUUGGCGGGUGUCGAGCUAGUAGUGAAACCGACCCAAAAAUGG